UACGAAGGGGGCUAGCGUUGUUCGGAAUCACUGGGCGUAAAGGGCGCGUAGGCGGCCGUUCAAGUCGGGGGUGAAAGCCUGUGGCUCAACCACAGAAUGGCCUUCGAUACUGGACGGCUCGAGACCGGAAGAGGUUGGUGGAAUUGCGAGUGUAGAGGUGAAAUUCGUAGAUAUUCGCAAGAACACCGGUGGCGAAGGCGGCCAACUGGUCCGGAUCUGACGCUGAGGCGCGAAAGCGUGGGGAGCAAACAGG
rnacentral:rRNA from 1 species